AGCGUGGUGGUGGUGGUGGUAGUGUGAUGGUUUGGGGAUGCUUUGCUGCCUCAGGACCUGGACGACUUGUCAUCAUUAGAGGAACAAUGCUCUGUAUCAGAGAAUUCUAGAAUUCUACAGGAGAAUGUCAGGCCAUCCAUCCGUAAGCUGAAGCGCAGCUGGAUCAUGGAGCAAGAUAAUGAUCCAUAACACACAAUCAAGUCUACAUGAAAAUGGUUGAAAAGCAACACAUUUUAUGUUUUGGAAUGGCCUAGUCAAAGUCCAGACCUAAUCCUGAUUGAGUUGUUGUGGCAGGACUUGAAACGAGCAGUUCAUGCUUGAAAACCCACAAAUGUUGCUGAGUUAAAGCAGUUCUGCAUGGAAGAGUGGGGCAAAAUUGCUCCACAGCGAUGUGAGAGACUGAUGACAACUGCAUGAAGCGUUUUGUUACAAUCAUUGCAGCUAAAGGUGGCACAACCAGUUGUUGAGUGUACGGUGGCAAUUACUUUUUUUACACAGAGGCAUUGAGUGUUUCAUAACUUUAUUAAAUAAGUAUCAAAUUGUUAUUUGUGUACACAGGUUUUGGUUGAAGAUCUGAUAACAUUCAAUAUCAAAAAUAUGCAAAAAUGUAAAGAAAUCAGAAAAGGGGCUAAUACUUUUUCACUGCACUGUACUUGUUACGAUUUAAGUAUGGAAAAGUAUCUUGAAUAUAUAAAUGUUGUAAGAUGUUAAUUCUAUGUAUUCAAAAAUAUAUAGCUCAAUAAAGUUGUACAUUUCUCAAGAUUGUUAUCUGGUUUGUGGUGUUAUUCAAUAUUGUAUAUCACAUUUAAAUAAAUUCUGGGCUCCCGAAAGGGCUGAACUUAUCUAAUAUAUAUAAACAACUCUUGGAAAGAUCAUAUUCUGAGCUAGCCAUUAAAAAUGUCCACCGAUAAUUGAGUCUGAACAACUCUUCAACUGAAACUGUCACACUCUGACCAUUAUUAGUGUUGUUUGUUUCUAUGUUUUGGUUGGUCAGGGUGUGAUAUGAGUGGGCAUUCUAUGUUGCAUGUCUAGUCAGUCUGUUUCUAUGUGUUUUGGCCUGAUAUGGUUCUCAAUCAGAGGCAGGUGUUUAUCGUUGUCUCUGAUUGGGAAUCAUAUUAAGGUAGCCUUUGUUGUAUUGUGAUUUGUGGGUUAUUGUCUAUGUGAUGUUGCAUGUUAGCACUCUGUUUCUAUAGCGGUCACGUUCGUCUGGUUAGUUUGUUUGUUUGCUUUAGUGUAUUUCGUGUUU
rnacentral:lncRNA from 1 species